rnacentral:rRNA from 1 species
UACGGAGGGGGCUAGCGUUGUUCGGAAUUACUGGGCGUAAAGCGUGCGCAGGCGGUUUUGUAAGCCAGGUGUGAAAUCCCCGGGCUCAACCUGGGAAUGGCAUUUGGGACUGCAAGGCUGGAGUGCGGCAGAGGAGACUGGAAUUCCUGGUGUAGCAGUGAAAUGCGUAGAUAUCAGGAGGAACACCGAUGGCGAAGGCAGGUCUCUGGGCUGACACUGACGCUCAUGCACGAAAGCGUGGGGAGCAAACAGG